rnacentral:snoRNA from 1 species
CUGCCGAUGAAGAAAUCUAUCAAAAUUACACCAUCUUUCGGGACUGAGUGUCUAUUUGAUGAAAUUCUGCAAUUCCGAGGCUC